AUUGAGCCUUUUCUUGUACUUAAAUGAUUGAAGUAAAAGUACGCUUUAAGUCACUUUAUUGAUGAUAAUUAUUAAUAUUUUAUUAGUUUCCUAAAAUAUCUUCAAUAUGUAUCUAGAAAAACGAUGAUUUUUCGCGUGUUGAAUUUUUGAAAAUCGUGUGAACAUCGAAUAUGAAUCACUCUGUAUCAACUACCUAAUAAAAUCAAUUGAAA